UCUGUUAGCCGAGAGUUACCCACCGGCCACGGGCCGACACCGAACCCACGGGACCCAGGGCUCUCAAACCCAGACCCGGUGUUGCUGUAGCUCACUCGGGCUAACGGCUGGCCGACUAACUGCGGCUGAAGCUGGUGUUAGCUACGGCUGCUAGCCCGGCUGUGCUACAUGAAAACAAAACGCAGGCUAAAGGUGUUAGCACGCAGCUAGCAGCAGCUAGCAGCUAACAACACGAACCCGGAACACAUCUGCUAACAGCUAACAGCUAACAGCUAACGCCGGACAGCCGUAAACACUGACGGCUAACGGCAGCUAGCCUCUAACUGCUGUGUCAGUUCCGUGGGGUCCACUUCUACUCAACAGCAGGUGCAGGUCAACCCGAAGGGCUGCCGGGCGACAGGUGAACGCAGAUCAGAGCCCGGCUUAGACUGCAGGGUUAGAACCAGGCUGAACCUGUGUGGUGGAUCACAGUGGACUCUGAGGGUCCUGCCUGCCUGUCAGACGCCUUGUGAGUCACCUUGUGUGGGUGACCAAUAGGAAAACAGGCUCAGGUCCCUAUUCUCAGAGUCCAGCUCACCUUAUCAGGAUCUGUCUAAAUUAUCAGCUCUGUCUGUCUACUUUGCAGCAUCUGACCUGGACAGGUCUGAAUCCCUUCUCAACUUCUAAGUGAUCUGCUGGAAUGGGCCCGCUGUUUUCCAUGGAUCUGAUUGGCCGGUUUUCGGUGGUUUCACACCUUUUGGUCUCUUAUCUGGAGGAUAAUCGGAGCAGGAGUGACACAGGCCAAAAGGCUGGGCGUUGAUGCCCCAGCCCCCGGACACCAACCACCUACUUCUUCUUCUUCUUGCCUCCACCCACCUGAUGAAUGAUUUAUGGGGUCGCAGAGAUUUGGGGUCCUCAGGGUAUCUGUAGGCCCGUGGUUCUGGGUUCCAACCUGUGUUUAGCAUCUCUCUGAGACCUGAGCGACCACCUGGGCCCGCUCUGUCCCACCACACGGGAUCAGUGCAGUUCUGAAUAUGGUCCAGAUGUUUUGGUGCCUUAAACAACAAAAAGGGAUCCAGUGGUUUCAGAGUCACCCCCUAAACCUGCGAGAACAUGUUUUUGUUUUUUACAUUUGGAAGUUGUUCUUCCACAUUGGCAAAAAAGUUUUGACACAUAAAAGUUGAUUAGAUUUGUUUCAUAAUGGUCCUUUUAUUUCUUUACCUCGUGGGUCUAGGCCGUUAUUUCUCAUUGAUGCUCAUCUAAGUUGAUUAAGGAGGUUUGUGUUCUUUUCUGGAGGUUAUUGAGAUUUUGGAGAUGAUGACAUUUUUGAAGUCCUAAAGAACACAAUAUGUGGAGAUUUUUAAGAAUAUUUAAAGAGGUCCAGAGGUUUUAGAAGUCAUUAAAUGCCAAGGUGAAAUGGAGAAAUGCUGAAGGAGGUCUUGGAGAAGGUCCCAGUUCUAUCUGAAAGUGUUACAGAUGUUGUUCUGGACUUUUAAGUCUUUUGGGACAGUUCAGAGUCUCUUGUGUCAGCACUGCUUUUUCACAGGUCCUAGCAUACAGACAAGGUAUUUAGAGCUCCAGAUGUUUUCGUGAGCCUCUGAAAAGUGAAAGAAGAA